rnacentral:ncRNA from 1 species
CAAAGGUUUGGUCCUGAGUUUACUAUCAGCUUCAGCUCAAUUUAUACAUGCAAGUAUCCGCACCCCUGUGAGAAUGCCCUCAAUCCCCCAACCGGGGACAAGGAGCGGGCAUCAGGCACACCCACCCUGCUUAGCCCAAGACGCCUUGCUAUGCCACACCCCCAAGGGAACUCAGCAGUAAUAAAUAUUAAGCUAUAAGUGAAAACUUGACUUAGUUAGAGCUAAGAGGGUCGGUAAAAUUCGUGCCAGCCACCGCGGUUAUACGAAAGACCCUAGUUGAUAUUCACGGCGUAAAGGGUGGUUAAGGGAUAAAAUAAAUAAAGCUAAAGAGCCUCUAAGCCGUCGUACGCACUCCGAAAGCUCGAAACCCUAAAACGAAAGUAGCUUUAAAAUAUAAUUACCUGACCCCACGAAAGCUAAGAAACAAACUGGGAUUAGAUACCCCACUAUGCUUAGCCCUAAACCAAGAUGCAAACUUACACACGCAUCCGCCCGGGUACUACGAGCUCAGCUUAAAACCCAAAGGACUUGGCGGUGUCUCAGACCCACCUAGAGGAGCCUGUUCUAGAACCGAUAAACCCCGCUAAACCUCACCACUUCUUGUUUUUUCCCGCCUAUAUACCGCCGUCGUCAGCUUACCCCGUGAAGGCCUAGAAGUAAGCAAAAUUGAUACACCCAAAAACGCCAGGUCAAGGUGUAGCGAAUGAAGUGGGAAGAAAUGGGCUACAUUUUCUAUAAAACAGAACAUUACGGACGACACCCUGAAACAUAUGUCUGAAGGUGGAUUUAGUAGUAAAAAGAAAAUAGUGUGUCCUUUUGAAUUAGGCUCUGAGACGCGCACACACCGCCCGUCACUCUCCCCACCAAUAAUAACACCAAACAAUAUAUUCUAAAAACACAACCGAUCACGGGGAGGCAAGUCGUAACAUGGUAAGUGUACCGGAAGGUGCACUUGGAAUAAU